GACGAACGCUGGCGGCGUGCUUAACACAUGCAAGUCGAACGGAAAGGCCCUGCUUUUGUGGGGUGCUCGAGUGGCGAACGGGUGAGUAACACGUGAGUAACCUGCCCUUGACCUUGGGAUAACUUCAGGAAACUGGGGCUAAUACCGGAUAGGAGCUCCUGCUGCAUGGUGGGGGUUGGAAAGUUUCGGCGGUUGGGGAUGGACUCGCGGCUUAUCAGCUUGUUGGUGGGGUAGUGGCUUACCAAGGCUUUGACGGGUAGCCGGCCUGAGAGGGUGACCGGCCACAUUGGGACUGAGAUAUGGCCCAGACUCCUACGGGAGGCAGCAGUGGGGAAUAUUGCACAAUGGGCGGAAGCCUGAUGCAGCAACGCCGCGUGCGGGAUGACGGCCUUCGGGUUGUAAACCGCUUUCGCCUGUGACGAAGCGUGAGUGACGGUAAUGGGUAAAGAAGCACCGGCUAACUACGUG
rnacentral:rRNA from 1 species